AUCCGGGUUGCGGACAGUGUCUGGUGGGUAGUUUGACUGGGGCGGUCUCCUCCUAAAGAGUAACGGAGGAGCACGAAGGUUGGCUAAUCCUGGUCGGACAUCAGGAGGUUAGUGCAAUGGCAUAAGCCAGCUUGACUGCGAGCGUGACGGCGCGAGCAGGUGCGAAAGCAGGUCAUAGUGAUCCGGUGGUUCUGAAUGGAAGGGCCAUCGCUCAACGGAUAAAAGGUACUCCGGGGAUAACAGGCUGAUACCGCCCAAGAGUUCAUAUCGACGGCGGUGUUUGGCACCUCGAUGUCGGCUCAUCACAUCCUGGGGCUGAAGUAGGUCCCAAGGGUAUGGCUGUUCGCCAUUUAAAGUGGUACGCGAGCUGGGUUUAGAACGUCGUGAGACAGUUCGGUCCCUAUCUGCCGUGGGCGCUGGAGAACUGAGGGGGGCUGCUCCUAGUACGAGAGGACCGGAGUGGACGCAUCACUGGUGUUCGGGUUGUCAUGCCAAUGGCACUGCCCGGUAGCUAAAUGCGGAAGAGAUAAGUGCUGAAAGCAUCUAAGCACGAAACUUGCCCCGAGAUGAGUUC
rnacentral:rRNA from 2 species